UUGAAUUUCUAUUUAACUGAUGUAGAGUUCAUCAAAAACUAUCUUCCCUAUUAUGUAGCAUGGAGACUAGCUUAGACUGUGUUACAGCAUAAUGUGAUUAUAAUUAUUUCCUUAAGAGAGUACAGAAGCAGCAUCUAUGUUUUAACUGACAUUUAUUGACAUGCAGCAUCAGUUGGGAGCCCCACCAAGCUUCCCAUUCUUUUCUGUUUACCACCUCCUGCUUUUAUUUACAGUCAGCAUAUCUGUUAAUUAGCUUCAGGUAGAGCCAGUUCUUCUAAGAAGAUCUCAUGUCUUCCUGGUGAUGGCCCCGUGAGGUGACCAUGUACACACAGUCUGAGUAAAUUCAUCUUUAAUUUAUUAAUUUUAGUGCCUGAUUCUGAAAUGUUCAACUGCUGGCUUGUUUUCCUACCCCCAGUUUGCAUUUGGACUAUUGUAGGUUUUGACUCCCGUUGCUCCAGUGUCAUAAACACAUCUCAGUGAGCUCUCAGCAUCGUGUGGUUACCUCACUGGAAGUCAUAUUUUCUUGUGAUUUUCUGGGCAGGACCAGAAUGCAUAUGGACUUCCAGGCAUCCUGGUUGCUGUUACAAGAGAGACAAAAAUCAAAAAAGAAGAGAUGAAUACUUGUUACUGAUGGCUAAUAGGUUAGUGAUGAUGAUGCUCGGUGACAAAGAAUCAAUGAAAAAGUAUCAGUGAAAUUUUUUUUUUGCCAUCUUUAAUUGUAAGAAACCCAUGCUGACUGGUCUGCUAAAGUUUCAUGGGGAAAUUGAAUACUGUGGGGAAAAGGUGGGUGAUGUCUUUAAGCCAUAUUAACCGUUUCUGUGUGUUUUGUGGUUGGACAGGGAGAUAAAAGUUGCUGGAAACGUCUUCUACAAUUCAGUGGCACUUCAUCAGUAUAAUGAAGUACCAUUUAGGCCAUCUUUGUUAGGGAGAAGCUCCUUUACUUCUAGUAUGCUCUCAUCUUUCAAAUCUCAUUACAGCAGCACCGUGAGUUUCUGCAGAUUUCCUUUCACAUACAGCAUCCAUAAGUAUGGAAGUUACAAAUUUAUCAUUUCU
rnacentral:lncRNA from 1 species